CAAGGAUAUCUAGAGCCAAGUGAGUCCUGUUGGUUUUGCUGCUGCCUGAACACCAAGACCUUCAUCAGCCCUGUAAAAAGCCGGGAGAGGUGGAUCAGCCAUGAAGAUCCUGUACCUGCUCUUUCCAAUGUUUCUCCUGUUGGUCCAGGAUGUUGAAGGAAUUAAAAAUACAUGCCAGCAGCUAGGGGGAUACUGUACUUAUUGGAAGUGCCGUGGCUCUUCAAGACGUAUCGGAAACUGUUCGGCAUUUACCAUAUGCUGUGAACG